AUUGAACGCUGGCGGCAGGCCUAACACAUGCAAGUCGAGCGGGGUUUUCGGACCUAGCGGCGGACGGGUGAGUAAUGCGUAGGAAGCUACCCGAUAGAGGGGGAUACCAGUUGGAACGACUGUUAAUACCGCAUAAUGUCUACGGACCAAAGUGUGGGACCUUCGGGCCACAUGCUAUCGGAUGCGCCUACGUGGGAUUAGCUAGUUGGUGGGGUAAUGGCUCACCAAGGCGACGAUCCCUAGCUGGUUUGAGAGGAUGAUCAGCCACACUGGAACUGAGACAUGGUCCAGACUCCUACGGGAGGCAGCAGUGGGGAAUAUUGGACAAUGGGCGCAAGCCUGAUCCAGCCAUGCCGCGUGUGUGAAGAAGGCCUCGGUUGUAAG
rnacentral:rRNA from 1 species